AUACGUAGGUGGCAAGCGUUGUCCGGAAUUAUUGGGCGUAAAGCGCAUGUAGGCGGUAAUUUAAGACUGUCGUGAAACUGCGGGGCUCAGCCCCGUAUGGCGAUGGAAACUGGGUUACUUGAGUGCAGGAGAGGAAAGGGGAACUCCCAGUGUAGCGGUGAAAUGCGUAGAUAUUGGGAAGAACACCGGUGGCGAAGGCGCUUUUCUGGACUGUGUCUGACGCUGAGAUGCGAAAGCCAGGGUAGCGAACGGGAUUGGAUACCCCGGUAGUCCUGGCCGUAAACGAUGGGUACUAGGUGUGGGAGGUAUCGACCCCUUCCGUGCCGGAGUUAACGCAAUAAGUACCCCGCCUGGGGAGUACGGCCGCAAGGCUUAAACUCAAAGGAAUUGACGGGG
rnacentral:rRNA from 1 species